AGAACGAACGCUGGCGGCGUGGAUAAGACAUGCAAGUCGAACGCGACUUAUUGAGUUAGCAAUAACUUGGUAAGUUGAGUGGCGAAAGGGUGCGUAACACGUGGGAAUUUACCGAGAAGUGGGGAAUAGCUCGACGAAAGUCGAAUUAAUACCGCAUACGAUCGAAAGAUCAAAGCCGGGGACCGCAAGGCCUGGCGCUUUUUGAGAAGCCCGCGGCCCAUCAGCUAGUUGGUGAGGUAAAGGCUCACCAAGGCUAUGACGGGUAGCUGGUCUGAGAGGACGACCAGCCACACUGGAACUGAGACACGGUCCAGACACCUACGGGUGGCAGCAGUCGAGAAUUUUUCACAAUGGACGAAAGUCUGAUGGAGCGACGCCGCGUGGAGGAUGAAGGUUCUUGGAUUGUAAACUCUGUCACUGCAGAACAAGGCUACACAUGUGAAUAGCGUGUGUAGUUGAGUGGUAGUGCGGAGGAGGGAAGGGACGGACUAACGUCGUACG
rnacentral:rRNA from 1 species